rnacentral:rRNA from 1 species
AGAGUUUGAUCCUGGCUCAGAGUGAACGCUGGCGGCGUGCCUAACACAUGCAAGUCGAACGAGAACGGACUUAAGUUUACUUAAGUUGUCAGCUAAGUGGCGCACGGGUGAGUAAUAUAUAGUUAACCUGCCUCAAAGAAGAGAAUAAUUGUUGGAAACGACUUGUAAUGCUCUAUAUGCCUUUAUCACAUAAGUGAGCAAGGGAAAUAUUUAUAGCUUUGAGAUGGGACUGUACGGUAUCAGAUAGUUGGUGAGGUAAUGGCUCACCAAGUCUAUGACGCCUAACUGGUUUGAGAGGAUGAUCAGUCACACUGGAACUGAGACACGGUCCAGACUCCUACGGGAGGCAGCAGUGGGGAAUAUCGCACAAUGGAGGAAACUCUGAUGCAGCAACGCCGCGUGGAGGAUGACACAUUUCGGUGCGUAAACUCCUUUUAUUAGGGAAGAUAAUGACGGUACCUAAUGAAUAAGCACCGGCUAACUCCGUGCCAGCAGCCGCGGUAAUACGGGGGGUGCAAGCGUUACUCGGAAUCACUGGGCGUAAAGAGCAUGUAGGCUGAUUAGUAAGUUGGAAGUGAAAUCCUAUGGCUCAACCAUAGAACUGCUUCCAAAACUGCUUAUCUAGAGUAUGGGAGAGGUAGAUGGAAUUUCUGGUGUAGGGGUAAAAUCCGUAGAGAUCAGAAGGAAUACCGAUUGCGAAGGCGAUCUACUGGAACAUUACUGACGCUGAGAUGCGAAAGCGUGGGGAGCAAACAGGAUUAGAUACCCUGGUAGUCCACGCCCUAAACGAUGCACACUAGUUGGUGCUAUGCUAGACAUAGCAGUAAUG